rnacentral:rRNA from 1 species
GAUCCUGGCUCAGGAUGAACGCUAGCUACAGGCUUAACACAUGCAAGUCGAGGGGCAGCGGGAUUGAAGCUUGCUUCAAUUGCCGGCGACCGGCGCACGGGUGAGUAACGUGUAUCCAACCUUCCGUACACUCAGGGAUAGCCUUUCGAAAGAAAGAUUAAUACCUGAUGGUAUCUUAAGCACACAUGUAAUUAAGAUUAAAGAUUUAUCGGUAUGAGAUGGACCCGCGUCUGAUUAG